GUUGCCCAAAGCAUCCAAUUCUUGAAUAUCAAUUGCACUUUCCAAUUUGUUGUAGCUUAAAUUUAAUGAUUUUAAAAGUGAAAAAACACUUAAAAAUGGUACGAUACUAUUGUUGAAGUUGUUGCUUGACAAAUCAAGAUACUCCAAAUUUUCAAGCCUUGAUAGCCCUUGAAUAUCAGUUAUAUUUACCAAUCCAUUGGAGGCCAAAUUCAAUGAUUUUAAAGA
rnacentral:misc_RNA from 1 species